rfam:Eutrema salsugineum unplaced genomic scaffold scaffold_1, whole genome shotgun sequence.
GUCGCUUUGGCCGAGUGGUUAAGGCGUCCGCCUGCUAAGCGGAUGGGCUACGCCCGCGAGAGUUCGAAUGUCUCAGGUGACG